rnacentral:rRNA from 1 species
AGUAACACGUGGGUAACCUGCCUUAUAGUGGGGGAUAGCCUUUCGAAAGGAAGAUUAAUACCGCAUAAGAUUGUAGUAUCGCAUGAUAUAGCAAUUAAAGGAGCAAUUCGCUAUAAGAUGGACCCGCGUCGCAUUAGCUAGUUGGUGAGGUAAUGGCUCACCAAGGCGACGAUGCGUAGCCGACCUGAGAGGGUGAACGGCCACAUUGGGACUGAGACACGGUCCAGACUCCUACGGGAGGCAGCAUG